CAGUUUUCUCUCCGGUCGCCAAGAAACUGGAAGGCAGGCAAGCAUUCUGAACAAAAAUUGUAGAGGUUGAGAGUUGUUCUUGUGAGUAAUCGUGAAGCCAGUAUCGAAGAAAGUCCAUAUAGUGGUCAAGAAACUCAAUGGGGGUAGUAACACUAAGAAUGUUCAGAAGCAGAAUUGCUCCAUGCUUUGAUUCUAGGGAGCUCUCAGAGGACCUUAAAUUCUUAAUGGUACUGAAUUAACUUCUCACGGUUAGAAUGAGGUGUAUUGUGCCUUCUGCUGAUCCUAUGAGGAGAAGGAAAGUUACAAGCAAUUUUACUGGGAUGAAUUGUGUAUGCUUUCACUUCCUUAAUUUGAAUUUGCUGUACAAUGUUAUUGAAUUUUCUGUAUCUGGUAUACUUUGUGCUAUUUUUGGUGUUAAUUUAUGCUGCAUUGCACCA